rnacentral:rRNA from 1 species
UACGUAGGGUGCAAGCGUUAAUCGGAAUUACUGGGCGUAAAGCGUGCGCAGGCGGUUUUGUAAGUCUGUCGUGAAAUCCCCCGGGCUCAACCUGGGAAUUGCGAUGGAGACUGCAAGGCUAGAAUCUGGCAGAGGGGGGUAGAAUUCCACGUGUAGCAGUGAAAUGCGUAGAGAUGUGGAGGAACACCGAUGGCGAAGGCAGCCCCCCUGGGUCAAGAUUGACGCUCAUGCACGAAAGCGUGGGGAUCAAACAGG